rnacentral:lncRNA from 1 species
AUAAAUAGGAAAUGAAAAGUCCCUAAUGGCCCUUAGCCUUAUUACAUUUUGAUAAAGCGAAAAGAAAGACUCCUAUCUAUUUGGUCCCAGAAGGACCUUCCCAGAUUCUCCUUGGAUCCGUCGAACAUCUUUCCCAACUCGCGAAGUCCCAGCAAUAAGUAGGAUCUGGCUAGAUGUCCGUCUUCAUUUCCUUCAGCAUUUUGGCUGUCUUAGAUCCUCUUCAGAAACUUUCUUUCCAAUUCCACUAUGCCUCAUUCCAAGUAUCCCAGUCGCUUAUUGGCACUGACAGCCAUGUCCUUCUAUUCUUCAAUCAGUUUCUGGUUGGCC